AUGAAGCAUGGUUGUGUCUUCAGUGCGCACCGCCGGAUGAACGUCAUGCUGGGACACGCUAUCCCUGAUUUAUGCCGCUUCAGCUUGGAUGAGUCUCCAUCGUGUGGAACCGGACUAGAAAGCUGCGACAAUGAUUCCCGUUGCCCACCGCUAUGGAUCGUGCCAUCCAUGAAGAACACCUGGGACUGGAACCUGGAGGAGGACAUUAGUACUAGUAGAAUUGAGAUUGAAUGCACUUUCUUCCCCGUCUUCCACUCUUCUUCCUCCUCUCUUCUUCUUCCUCCUCUCUUCCCCAUCGUCGGCCGCACACCAUUUACCCCCGCUCACUGCUCGCCCGCCCGCGCCAUCUUCCUUGUACCAUAUAACUGGAAUUACCGAUGCAAGUCGAAGAAGGAUUGGCCGGUGCUGCCGGCUGGCGUCAAGUUCGAUCCCACGGAUCAGGAGAUGAUCGAGCACCUUGAGGCCAAAGUGAGUGCUGACAGCGCGAGAUUUCAGUCUCUCAUCGAUUUGUUCAUACCAAUCAUCGACAGCGAGCACGGCAUAUGCUACACCCAACCUGAGAAACUUCCAGGUAUCACACUGAGUGGCCUAAGGAAGCAUUUCUUCCAUCGCAAUUCCAGGGCGUUCAAAAGGGGCACGUGGACGCGUCGCAAGAUACAGUCGGAGUGCGGCAUGCACGCGAUGUGGCACAAUAAUGGCAAUACCUUGCCGGUGAUGGUCAACGGCCAGCAAGACGGGCAGCAAAAAAGGUUCUGGUGCUACACACCAACAAGAACUUCGACCAGCAAAGGACCAACUGGGUGA
rnacentral:rRNA from 1 species